UGUAGUCAUAUGCUUGUCUCAAAGAUUAAGCCAUGCAUGUCUAAGUAUAAGCAAUUAUACAGCGAAACUGCGAAUGGCUCAUUAUAUAAGUUAUCGUUUAUUUGAUAGUACCUUACUACUUGGAUAACCGUGGUAAUUCUAGAGCUAAUACAUGCUAAAAAUCCCGACUUCGGAAGGGAUGUAUUUAUUAGAUUAAAAACCAAUGCCCUUCGGGGCUCCUUGGUGAUUCAUGAUAACUUCUCGAAUCGCAUGGCCUUGUGCCGGCGAUGGUUCAUUCAAAUUUCUUCCCUAUCAACUUUCGAUGUUUGGGUAUUGGCCAAACAUGGUUGCAACGGGUAACGGAGGGUUAGGGCUCGACCCCGGAGAAGGAGCCUGAGAAACGGCUGCUACAUCCAAGGAAGGCAGCAGGCGCGCAAAUUACCCAAUCCCGACACGGGGAGGUAGUGACAAUAAAUACUGAUACAGGGCUCUUUUGGGUCUUGUAAUUGGGAUGAGUACAAUUUAAAUCCCUUAACGAGGAACAAUUGGAGGGCAAGUCUGGUAAUCG
rnacentral:rRNA from 1 species